rnacentral:rRNA from 1 species
AGAGCGAACGCUGGCGGCAGGCCUAACACAUGCAAGUCGAGCGCCCGUAGCAAUACGGGAGCGGCAGACGGGAUAGUAACACGUGGGAACGCGCCCUUCGGUUCGGAAUAACUCAGGGAAACUUGAGCUAAUACCGAAUACGCCCUUACGGGGAAAGAUUUAUUGCCGAAGGAACGGCCCGCGUCCGAUUAGCUAGUUGGUGAGGUAAUGGCUCACCAAGGCUACGAUCGGUAGCUGGUCUGAGAGGAUGACCAGCAUCACUGGGACUGAGACACGGCCCAGACUCCUACGGGAGGCAGCAGUGGGGAAUAUUGGACAAUGGGCGCAAGCCUGAUCCAGCCAUGCCGCGUGGAUGAUGAAGGCCUUAGGGUUGUAAAGUCCUUUUAACGGGGAAGUAUAAUGACGGUACCCGUAGAAUAAGCCCGGCUAACUUCGUGCCAGUAGCCGC